AGAUUGAACGCUGGCGGCAUGCCUUACACAUGCAAGUCGAACGGCAGCACGGGAGCAAUCCUGGUGGCGAGUGGCGAACGGGUGAGUAAUAUAUCGGAACGUGCCCAGUCGUGGGGGAUAACGCAGCGAAAGCUGUGCUAAUACCGCAUACGAUCUAUGGAUGAAAGCGGGGGAUCGCAAGACCUCGCGCGAUUGGAGCGGCCGAUAUCAGAUUAGCUAGUCGGUGGGGUAAAAGCCUACCAAGGCGACGAUCUGUAGCUGGUCUGAGAGGACGACCAGCCACACUGGAACUGAGACACGGUCCAGACUCCUACGGGAGGCAGCAGUGGGGAAUUUUGGACAAUGGGCGCAAGCCUGAUCCAGCAAUGCCGCGUGCAGGAUGAAGGCCUUCGGUUGUAAACUGCUUUUGUACGAACGAACGGUCCUCUCUAAUACAGGGCUAAGUGACGGUACCGUAAGAAGUAAGACACCGGACUAACUACGUGACCG
rnacentral:rRNA from 1 species